rnacentral:rRNA from 1 species
UACGAAGGGGGCUAGCGUUGCUCGGAAUUACUGGGCGUAAAGCGCACGUAGGCGGUCUUUUAAGUCGGGGGCGAAAUCCUGGAGCUCAACUCCAGAACUGCCUUCGAUACUGGAAGACUUGAGUCCGGGAGAGGUGAGUGGAACUGCGAGUGUAGAGGUGAAAUUCGUAGAUAUUCGCAAGAACACCAGUGGCGAAGGCGGCUCACUGGCCCGGUACUGACGCUGAGGUGCGAAAGCGUGGGGAGCAAACAGG